rnacentral:rRNA from 1 species
GAUGAACGCUGGCGGCGUGCCUAAUACAUGCAAGUCGAGCGAACGGACGAGAAGCUUGCUUUUCUGAUGUUAGCGGCGGACGGGUGAGUAACACGUGGAUAACCUACCUAUAAGACUGGGAUAACUUCGGGAAACCGGAGCUAAUACCGGAUAAUAUUUUGAACCGCAUGGUUCAAAAGUGAAAGACGGUCUUGCUGUCACUUAUAGAUGGAUCCGCGCUGCAUUGGCUAGUUGGUAAGGUAACGGCUUACCAAGGCAACGAUGCAUAGCCGACCUGAGAGGGUGAUCGGCCACACUGGAACUGAGACACGGUCCAGACUCCUACGGGAGGCAGCAGUAGGGAAUCUUCCGCAAUGGGCGAAAGCCUGACGGAGCAACGCCGCGUGAGUGAUGAAGGUCUUCGGAUCGUAAAACUCUGUUACUAGGGAAGAACAUAUGUGUAAGUAACUGUGCACAUCUUGACGGUACCUAAUCAGAAAGCCACGGCUAACUACGUG